rnacentral:rRNA from 1 species
UACGUAGGGGCGAGCGUUACCCGGAUUAUACUGGGCUAAGCGCGUGUAGGCGCUGGCCAAGUCGUGGUGUGAAAUCUUCGGACUUACCCGUAAACUGCAUUGCGAACUGGUCUGGCUAGAGUGUGUGAGAGGGUAGUGGAAUUCCCUGUGUAGCGGUGAAAUGCGUAGAUAUCGGAGGAACACCAGUGGCGAAGGCGGACUACCUGCACAUAACUGACUGCUGAUAGCGAAAGCGUG